rnacentral:rRNA from 1 species
GCAGGUGCAUGCCUCUAGCAUGAAGUCAGACAAGUGAACCCGCUGAAUUUAAGCAUAUCAAUAAGCGGAGGAAAUCACUAGUGCGGCCGCCUGCAGGUCGACCAUA